rnacentral:rRNA from 1 species
AUUGAACGCUGGCGGCAGGCCUAACACAUGCAAGUCGGGCGAGCGGAGGACGGGUGAGUAAUGUAUGGGGAUCUGCCUGAUGGAGGGGGAUAACUACUGGAAACGGUAGCUAAUACCGCAUACCAUCAGAUGAACCCAUAUGGGAUUAGCUAGUAGGUGGGGUAACGGCUCACCUAGGCGACGAUCCCUAGCUGGUCUGAGAGGAUGAUCGGCACCACGGGAACGGGGACAAGGCCCGGCUUCCUCCGGUGGGAGGCGGUGGGGAAUAUUGCACAAUGGGCGCAAGCCUUAUGCAGCCAUGCCGCGUGUAGGAAGAAGGCCUUCGGGUUGUAAAGUACUUUCAGUCUGGAGACGUUACCGACAGAAGAAGCACCGGCUAACUCCGUGCCAGCAGCCGCGGUAAUUC